rnacentral:snRNA from 1 species
GUGUUUGCUUCAGCAGCACAUGUAAGAUUGGAAUGAUGCAGAGAUGUACAAAGAUGACAUAAAUUUGUGUGGUGUUUCAUAUUUUU